GAUAUUCGAAUACGUUUAUCUUUUGUUUAUAUUUUGGACUGGCGCGGUGUUGACAUAUUUUAUAUUUAUAGUUGCCUAGUCAUUAUCAGUCAGUUUCGGAGAAAACCCAAAUUGACGAUCGACGAUAAAUGCUUAGGUUUUAUAAUAGGUAUUUACAAUGUUGGAAUGUACGAUAAUAUUUUUAUUGUUCAUUUAUUCAUGUCGAACAGUCAACAGUAAAGUUGUUGUCGGAUUCAUUUCACCUCUAAAGUUUUUUUUAUUUUAACAUUUCUUAACCAAAUAAAAAGAUAAUGAAUUGAAAAAAAAGCUAAGUGGGGUUGAAAAUAGAAAAAGAAAACUGGAACUUGAAAAAAAUGUACAAAAACUACCUAAGAUCGACAAUUUCUUUUCAAAAACAGAAACCAACGAGAUUGUACAAAAUAAAUUAUUUGAAACGAAAACGGUAUCAACUAAUGAUGUGGACCAUGAUUCAGAUAUGGAUAAGUAUAUUACAGAAACAGAAACCAACGAACUAGAGAGCUUUAAAGAGCAUGUUUGUUUACAACAUAGAUGACGAUUUAAAAAGAGCAAAAUUUUUUAAAAUGUUGAAUUUUAUUUAUAAAAAUAAACUUCAAGAUGCAUAUCCAAAUAUAUCCGUUGCUUACCAACUAUAUCUUACAAUGCCAGUUAUUUCAGCUUCGUGUGAACGAAGCUUUACCAAAUUGAAAUAAAUAAAAACAUAUUUAAGAUCUACUAUUGAGCAAGCAAAGCUUAAUCUAUUUUAUCCAUAGAAAAUAAAAUUGCAAGACAAAUCAAUUAUGAAGACAUAAUUAAUGAUUUCGCUGCAAAAAAAGCUAGAAAAAGUAAUUUUUAAAUUUUCAGAUUAUAAUUUUUU